CCUUAGAUUUGUUUUUAUUGUUGGAGCCUUGCUUGCUUUUGCGAAAGGUACCGAGACUCUAAAACAACACUGGCACUGUGAUGCUAAUUUGUCUUGUAUU